CUACGGGUUGCUGCAGUAGGGAAUAUUGGUCAAUGGGCGCGAGCCUGAACCAGCCAUCCCGCGUGCAGGAUGACGGCCCUAUGGGUUGUAAACUGCUUUUCUAUGCCAAGAAACCUGAUUACGUGUAACCAGUUGCCGGUAGCAUAGGAAUAAGCAUCGGCUAACUCCGUGCCAGCAGCCGCGGUAAUACGGAGGAUGCAAGCGUUAUCCGGAUUCAUUGGGUUUAAAGGGUGCGCAGGUGGGCUGGUAAGUCAGUGGUGAAAUGCUGCCGCUUAACGGUAGAACUGCCAUUGAUACUGGGAGUCUUGAGUAUGGUUGAGGUAGGCGGAAUGUGUUGUGUAGCGGUGAAAUGCAAAGAUAUGACACAGAACGCCAAUUGCGAAGGCAGCUUACUAAGCCAUUACUGACGCUGAGGCACGAAAGCGUGGGGAGCGAACAGGAUUAGAUACCCGGGUAGUC
rnacentral:rRNA from 1 species